rnacentral:tRNA from 1 species
AAUAAGAUAAGCUAAUAAAGCUAGUGGGUUCAUACCCCAAAAAUGAAAUAAAUUCUCUUAUUA